ACUCAAAGGAAUUGACGGGGGCCCGCACAAGCAGCGGAGCGUGUGGUUUAAUUCGAUGCGACGCGAAGAACCUUACCUAGACUUGACAUGACGGUGCAAACCCUGGAAACAGGGUCCCUCUUCGGAGCACCGCCACAGAUGUUGCAUGGCUGUCGUCAGCUCGUGUCGUGAGAUGUUGGGUUAAGUCCCGCAACGAGCGCAACCCCCGUGGUCUGUUGCAUACUCAGGCCAGACUGCCUACAAAAUAGGAGGAAGGUGGGGAUGACGUCAAGUCCGCAUGGCUCUUACGUCUAGGGCUACACACACGCUACAAUGGCCGGUACAAUGCGCAGCCACGGGGCGACCCGGAGCGAAUCGCCAAAACCGGUCUCAGUUCGGAUGGUAGGCUGCAACUCGCCUGCCUGAAGUCGGAGUUGCUAGUAACCGCAUGUCAGCACAGUGCGGUGAAUAUGUUCCCGGGCCUUGUACACACCGCCCGU
rnacentral:rRNA from 1 species